CCCCCCACUAUUACCAGCUUAAGGAUGUUGAAGACUCAUCUUCGAAGAAAUUGCCACGUGGACCAGGACGUGCUCAAGAGGAUAGAUAGCUGACACAUCUUUAUAUAUGCUUUGGCUGGUAAAAAAAUAAUGUACUGUAAAUAAUUUAUAACUGUAUAUUUAGAGUAUAGCAUCCUAUAUCCUUACCUGUUGAAGUAACUUUCGCAGUUGCAGUUGCAUGUGCAUCCUUUGGUUGAGUGUUGAUUUCACUUACCAACAAAUUUUGUCAUGUAGAUAUCAGUCUCAUUCUUUUGUAAUAAGUGACAUCUAAUUCAAUUUUAUUAGCACUGCUAGUUUAGUAUUGUAAAAAAUUUUUAGUGCAGUGCUUUAAUGUAGAAAAUAUUCAGAGCAACUUGUAUUUACUGCUCAUGGUUGUACAGAUUCAUUGAAUCUGGCAUAUGCCAUUCAAUAAUCUCUUAAAUUCGGUUUUUGGUA